CGCAUCUGUGCAUGCAGCAUAUCAAUAAGCGGAGGAAAAGAAACUAACAAGGAUUCCCCUAGUAACGGCGAGUGAAGCGGGAAGAGCUCAAAUUUGAAAUCUUAAAGGGUUUCCCUUUACGAAUUGUAGUUUAAAGAAGUGUUUUCUGUUGAGGUUUUGGUAAAAGUUCUUUGGAAUAGGACAUCAUAGAGGGUGAGAAUCCCGUAUUUGACCUUUACUUUCAACUUUGUGAUACACCUUCAAAGAGUCGGAUUGUUUGGGAAUGCAGUCCAAAAUGGGUGGUAAAUUUCAUCUAAAGCUAAAUAUUGGCGAGAGACCGAUAGCGAACAAGUACCGUGAGGGAAAGAUGAAAAGAACUUUGAAAAGAGAGUUAAACAGUACGUGAAAUUGUCAAAAGGGAAGCGUUUGACACCAGUGUUGCUUUUUCUGAAAAUCAAUUAAAGAACUGUUUAUGCUAAGUUGUUUAGACUUUAUCAGCUAACUGUUUAGUUUUGAGCUUUUCUUUAAUGCACUUUUCAGUUAACAAGUCAACAUCAAUUUCUUUUGCUGUAAAAAAGCUUGAGGAAGGUGGCCUGAGAUUCGUCUUAAGUGUUUAUAGCCUCUUGCCUAUGCAGUCGGAGAGAUUGAGGUCUGCAGCGUAGAUCCUUCGGGGCUAAAUGCAUUUGUGCUAAGUUAUAGCAUUUUAUAGACAACUUGUUGACUAUGAUUUGUCUUGUAGCUUACUCGCUUAUGUUAUUUUACCUACGCUUAGGAUGUUGACAGCAGUAUAGACUGU
rnacentral:rRNA from 1 species